CUGCGGAAGGCGUAAAGGAAACGCGCGCUAACAAGCUGGGCCGGACGCGACGCAGUCGGGGCGCGGGCCGUGCCUGAGUUGCUGCUGGCCUGCUGGGUCGAGCCGCCGUAGGCGACGCUGUCCUCGCGGCCCCCUUUCCCCUCCUCUGGCUCGACGGGGCGAACGCCCGGGUCGAGCCGCACACCAGUCGCUGGCGGACGGCAGCGGCGCCCCGACGAAAACGGAAGACCCCAUUGGCAUGAUCCGACGCCUCCACGGCCGCCACAGCCGUUCGACUCCCGGUGUUCUAGUAUUUUUAUGUUCACUCUGAUUGAGAGAAAAAAAAGACCUCAUGUUGCUGGGCACUUAGAUUAGGAUGAAACAGAACAAACCAAAUCAAAUUAUGAUGGAAAGAGCAAGAUCAGUCUGGACGCAGUCAUGAUAGAUCUUCUUUAAGCUUUCUCGAAGCUCUUGAUCAUGUAUACUGCACUCAUCAGUCACAAGCUCUCUCCUGGGAAAACCCAAUGUAAGUUCGUCUCAGUGUUUGUGAAUCUAGCCAAUGUUUAAUCUGAUGACAUUCAUAUGUCUCAACUCUCUUCUCAAAAUGGCUUUGAAUAGCUAGAUCGAAGGUAUUUAAUAAUAAACAUGGGAUAAAUUUGUAUCUGUCCGUCUUAAGGAAAAAACAUGUAGGCAUCCUACCCACUAAAUUUUACAAGGAAAAUAGUUUCAACUAGAGCCACCAUACAUAUUACAGCAAGUUAAUAAUAUAUAACCUCUUCAAUAUUUUUUUGAACCUCUGUUUAAGCAAAACCUAUUAAAUCUCUGGAAGUGGCACUUGCUAUUUUUUUUUGGAUUAAUGUAAACUGGUUGAUGAUCAGUGUCAAUAUAAUGGUGGUAUAUUGACUAAAAGUGGUGUCGUUCGUUGAUUUAUUUAGGAUUUUAUCACUCUCUUGCUAUUAUUACCUUCUAUCAUAGUAUUGUGGGCUUGUAUACUUUAGUAGUAAGCCCUGUUCCAUGAAAUGCCAUUAUGGAUACUGGAAUGUUUCAAUAAUUCUUAAUUAUUGACCAUUUUGCCUCUUCACUUGUAUCUCUUCAUUAGCACUAACAAUGUCCACGGACAAGUUCACUUUUCUUGCUGCUUUUUGGUCACAGAGUUUCAGAUUAUUCUCGAUGUGACAUUCACUGGAGAAUGUCAGCUUGGUUAUAGUGUUGGUAUCUAGCUAUGGAAGAGUUGUCCGUUAUUAACUUGCUUCUAUGUUGUUUGUUGAACUAUUACUCUCAUGGCUCCAAUUGGUAUGCACGGAAAGACUACUCCAGACCUUAUUUUCAUCUGAAUAAUAUUCUGGUAAGCUUUUCAUUAAUAAUUGUUUGAAACCAUUGUUUAGUAAAAUAUCGUUUAUUAUAUGGGUUUGGAUACGAUAAUAUGCACGUUUACAUUCAUACUAAGCAAAAUUGGUUUGUUGUCAAUUCCUCUUUUUUUGUGCCGUCUGGUCAGUACUCAGGGUCAGAGUGUUCCAAAGUAAAAUGUGGAUUGCGUAGUACUCCCUCCGUUCCUAAAUACUACGGAGGGAGUAGUGUUUUUUAGGGGAAGAUUGGAGUAUUAGUCUUAUACUGGAGACUCUAGUUUCUGGCAAUUUUUCAUCGAAUGAUAUCACAAUUCUACUAUGCAAAUAAUAUGAAUCUGCUCCCGCAGGCUUCCGUAGUACCACCAUCAUGCUCAUGUAAAAAGUAUUCCCUCCGUUCAGGAAUACAUGAUGUUUUAGAUAUGGACAGUCUCCAAAAAGCAACAUUGACCGUCAUAUUUUUAUAUUUAUAUGUUCAAAUUUUGACAUUACAUUCAUGGAAAAUCUAAUGGGGUUUUUUACCUAACAAAUCGAAAUAUUUUCUGUUCGGGAAAAGGAAGAAAUGUCUAACAGACCUGGGUUUGAAGGCCUGCUAAUGCCGUCUAGCCCUCCAGUGAUCCAGUCCUAUCAUUGCGAUAAAUCAAGUAUAUGUCCAAGCAGCCACAUAAUAUUGUUACAAUUACGAAUUACCACCACUUGCCCUGCAUCCAUUUUAUAAGUACGCAGGUAUAUCCAAAAAUAGAAAUUGAAGUUCACAUUCCCACAAAAGUCCAAAUGAUCCUUCUAGAUAACCAUUAACAAGGCCCUGGCCUGUGCAAAUUAUCCUUACCAGCAACUACAAAUAGGUGAUUCGACAUUUGUUGGAGUAUUUUGGAAUCAUUUCGUUUAAUUACUUUCUCAAGGCUACUGGCCAUACUCGUUUGGUCCCAUCGCAGUGACACACAUUGUGGCUAAUGGCUAGUUACUUUGUGUCAACAUAUUUGUUCGUGUACAUGACCAAUUCUAAAUCAAUAGUGCCACUCAUCGCUGAUGGGUCUGCUAGCAACCCGUCAGUGACGACUCGUCAAGGCUGCCAGUUGACAGUCACCACUAACGGCUCCUAUUAGUCCCGUCACUACUGACGGGUCGUCGGUCAUCUAGGCCCGUCAGAGAUGAGCCGUCAGUGAAAUGCUGUUUUGUAGUAGUGAUAAAAGUUGCUAGCGGUGGUUGCUCCAUGUUGAAAAUAAAGCUGUUUUUUAUAUUUGUGUAGUGCUUCUAUAGAUCUCUACAACAAAGAGGAGUCUACUAGGCCAGACUAAAAUGUUUAGAUAGUGAUCUAUGCUAUCUCAGUGUAUGGUAGCGGCACCUUUGCAUCGGUCGAACCAUCAUCAUUAGCCUUUUCUUUUUAGUUUGACAUGGCUCUUAUCUGAUUUAUUUUCUUGCAUAGGUUGUGUUAGAAUGGCCCAUAAUAUGAAUAAUCCUACUUGCAGACUAAAACAAAUUAGACAACGUUCUAUGUUAUCUCGGCCCAUUGUAUGCCCUCUAUGGUAUCAUUCAAAUCGUCAUCAUUAGCCAUUUCAUCAAAUUUUGGAAAGGCUAUUAUCUGGUAUUAUUUCCAUGAUUAGAUCAUGUUAGUCUGUUACAAUUCCCCAUCAUUACAACAUCUAAAUGUAGCUAGUGUAAAGUAGUUAGAAUGUUCCAUGACUAAAAGCUGGAACUUGAAAAGUAAAGGCAUUAGCUGCUCACAGGUCCAUCUUUAUGCGUGAGUAGGGGUCAUCAGACUCACCACCCAUCUACUAUUUGUAGGUAAUACACGUAUUGAGUUCCUUCAUUUAUUUAAUGAAUACACCUUUACUUUUCCUUGAGGAUGUUACCUCUUUGGACCAUUUCAAAUCAAGCAGUCCUUUUCCAUGCCUAUACUCAAUCUGAAAGCGAUCAGCUUGCUCCAGAUUCUCCUUAGCAAAAGGUGAACAACAAAAUGAAAAGUGGCACUCAGGUCAAUAUGCCAUAGGUCUGCCGUCAUCAAUAUAUAAGCAAUUCCCUUGGGGAACAUCUCAAAAGAAAGAAAAUAAAUAAUAAAG